rnacentral:rRNA from 1 species
GUCCAGACUCCUACGGGAGGCAGCAGUGGGGGAUAUUGCACAAUGGGGGAAACCCUGAUGCAGCGACGCCGCGUGGGUGAAGAAGCGCCUCGGCGCGUAAAGCCCUGUCAGCAGGGAAGAAAAUGACGGUACCUGAAGAAGAAGCCCCGGCUAACUACGUGCCAGCAGCCGCGGUAAUACGUAGGGGGCAAGCGUUAUCCGGAUUUACUGGGGGUAAAGGGGGCGCAGACGGCAGCGCAAGCCAGGAGUGAAAGCCCGGGGCCCAACCCCGGGACUGCUCUUGGAACUGCGCGGCUGUAGUGGAGGAGGGGCAGGCGGAAUUCCUGGUGUAGCGGUGAAAUGCGUAGAUAUCAGGAGGAGCACCGGUGGCGAAGGCGGCCUGCUGGACUGCGACUGACGUUGAGGCCCGAAAGCGUGGGGAGCAAACAGGAUUAGAUACCCCUGUAAAC